rnacentral:rRNA from 1 species
CAGCCGCCGCGGUAAUACCGGCGGCCCGAGUGGCGGUCACUCUUAUUGGGCUUAAAGCGUCCGUAGCCGGGUUGGGAAGUCCUCCGGGAAAUCUGGCCGCUUAACGGUCAGAAUGCCGGAGGAUACUCCCAGCCUAGGGAGCGGGAGAGGCCGAGGGUAUUCCCGGGGUAGGGGUGAAAUCCUAUAAUCCCGGGAGGACCACCUGUGGCGAAGGCGCUCGGCUGGAACGCGUCCGACGGUGAGGGACGAAGGCCAGGGGAGCAAACCGGAUUAGAUGCCCGGGUAGUCCUGGCUGUAAACGAUGCGGACUUUGUGUCGGACAAGCUAUGAGCUUGUCCGGUGCCGGAGGGAAACCGUUAAGUCCGCCGCCUGGGGAGUACGGCCGCAAGGCUGAAACUUAAAGGAAUUGGCGGG